AGAACGAGGGAGUGACGGGGGAAAGCAGACACUUUCUUAAAGGAUAGGAUCAUUUUAAAGAUUAUACACAAGUUUAAAAAGAAACAGAAACAAAGAAGAAAGGAAUUAAGUUAUCAACAAGGAUUCAUAUUCUAUGAAAAGAGGAAGUCAGCUGCAGACUCCAGAGACAACUCUUUCGUCCAAACCAAAGAAGUUCUGUCUGUCUCUGUCAAAGCUUUGUCUGCUCUCUAUAUGUCAAAAGUGGCAAAUCGGGAAGUGACAAUCAGUCCAAAAGUUGUAAAGGAUCAAGCUCAACCACGAAACUCUGGAAAGGUGGUUAAACCAACCAAGAUGAAUGAAGACUACCAACAAAGAAAAGAUGACUUCACUCAUCAGCCAGCAGAAGAGCAUAAAACAGGAUUGGAAGAAAUAUCUGAGGCACAUUCUGAACAGUUAACUUCACUCCAACUUUCCCCGGAAAUGUUAUUUCAACAACGACAGAAAACCGAGCUGAGGCGCCUCCUUAAGCAUACCUGCCCUGAGCUUAAGAGGCUAGAUGAUGCUGUUGAUGAGGAGUUUGCUGAAGUUUUAAGCUCUGAAAUGAAGCUUGGGGGUAAAACAGGAUAUGAGGGGGAAGUUCUUUCAAGAUGCAUGAUAUUUGAAAGCCGCAACCUGAGCAGCAACAACAACCCAAAAAUCUAUGUGGCAGAGGAGGGACUGGAAAGUAAGCAAUAUAGGAAAACAGCUUCAGAUUUUGAGAGGCUAAAAGAGGAACCUAAAACUAAGGAAUUUGAAGUGAUGUUGAAAAGUAAUAAGUCUCCUAAUUUGACAUCAGAUUUUAACAAAGAUGUUGAGGAAGAGAUUGUGAAAAAAGAUGCUCAAGUGAGUAGGAAGGUUGUUGAAAAUCAGUCUUCAAGCACACACAAGCAAAAUGAGAUUCAGGGCAACGCUCCUUUAGAUUUUAAGAAGGAAAUUAUAACUGGAAAAAUAAUGGAACAAUCUGAGGCAUAUUCCGCCAUCAUGCCACAAGAAGAAAACAAAAGCAUGGAAAAGGAUUCAGAAGAAAAAGCGCCGUGUGUUAACAGGAUCUGUC